AUGGGGUUGAGGGUUCCCGGGGCCUGUCGGGGCGGGCUCCCCCUGGGCCCUCGGGUCACUGCACCUGCUCGGCGAGGACGCGUCUCAGCCCAUGGCCAGUCCGGGAGCUCCGUCGCGGCCUCCCCGGCGGCGCCUCACUGGCCGGCCUGUCACGGCGCGCGCCUUACGCAGGGGCCCGCGCCCGGCAACAUCGCCUCCCGGGGACUCGCCGGGCUCUGCCUUUCGCUUACCGCGCCGCCGCCUCGACCGCCGCGCCCGCCGGAGCCCACCGGUCACGGCCGCCGCCUCCGUGUCCGCGGGCCCGGCGUGGAGCGCGGUGCGGGAGCGGGAGGCGCCGCGAUCCGCGCGGAGGGAGCGGCGUGGGGGCAGCGAGCACCGCGCGCGCGCCCGUCGCCGCCGCCGGAGCCUCGGGGCGCGUGCGCGCGGCGGGGGCGGGGCACACGUGCGUGUGUUUGUGUCGGAACCAGGGCGGGCGCGCGCGGGACAGGUCGCCUGCCGGGGACCCCCGCCGGGUCCUCCUCGGCGUGGACGCAUCCGAGGUGCCGAGCUGGUGGCGAGAUGGUCAGGCAAGGGGACCCCGGCCCCUUAAGCUCCUCGUUCCCCUCCGCCCCCGUCCCCUCCCCGCCCCCCUCGGCCGCGCAGGACCCUUCUCCCAACCCGAUCCGCCCUCAGGAAAGGUCAGUCCAACUCGAGCGGAUACGCCGCGGGGACCGGGGCAAGAGGCGGCGCACGUCUUUUAAUUGUGCGAUUUCGAGAAGUCUGGCUCAGCUCCCGCCUGUCAGUGUUGGCGGGAAAUUCGUCAGUCAGGUUUUGAAGUUCCCUUUCUCUUCUCUCUGGGGCUGUGAGGAACCAAAAAUCCGGCCGGGGGCGGGGCGGGGCCAUUCAGCGGAAAGGGAGUUUUCUUCCAGUCUCGGUGCUGGGUGCUACUCGUCCCAGGCCCUGGGGAUACCGCCACAGGACACCAUCGUCCGCAAGCCGGAGGGAGAGGAGUGGAGCCAGGGCAGGAUGCCCCGUGUGCCUCCAGGCCCAGGCCCUGGGACCCCCGUUUCUCAGACUGCCCUUGCAGCUCUCCCCAAUCCCCCCCGCCCCCACCAGGCCAGAGGAAAGGCCAGGACCAGAUUUCCAUGCCUGGAGACUCCAUCCCCUUCGCCCUUUGCUCUCUUCCUAAACCAGGACGGGUGCUUUCGCCUCCCCCUGGGGAGCAAUCCUAGCAGUUUCUCUCUCACCUGA
rnacentral:lncRNA from 1 species